rnacentral:tRNA from 1 species
AAAUAAGUAAGCUAAAUUAAGCUUUUAGGUUCAUACCCUAACUAUAGAAUUUUUAAUUCUCUUAUUUA